GAUGAACGCUGGCGGCGUGCCUAAUACAUGCAAGUCGAACGAAACUUCUUUAUCACCGAGUGCUCGCACUCACCGAUAAAGAGUUGAGUGGCGAACGGGUGAGUAACACGUGGGCAACCUGCCCAAAAGAGGGGGAUAACACUUGGAAACAGGUGCUAAUACCGCAUAACCAUAGUUACCGCAUGGUAACUAUGUAAAAGGUGGCUAUACUACCGCUUUUGGAUGGGCCCGCGGCGCAUUAGCUAGUUGGUAGGGUAAAGGCUUACCAAGGCAAUGAUGCGUAGCCGAAUUGAGAGGUUGAUCGGCCACAUUGGGACUGAGACACGGCCCAAACUCCUACGGGAGGCAGCAGUAGGGAAUCUUCCACAAUGGGCGAAAGCCUGAUGGAGCAACGCCGCGUGGGUGAAGAAGGUCUUCGGAUCGUAAAACCCUGUUGUUAGAGAAGAAAGUGCGUGAGAGUAACUGUUCACGUUUCGACGGUAUCUAACCAGAAAGCCACUGCUAACUACGU
rnacentral:rRNA from 1 species